rnacentral:rRNA from 1 species
CCUACGGGAGGCAGCAGUGGGGGAUAUUGCACAAUGGGGGAAACCCUGAUGCAGCGACGCCGCGUGGGUGAAGAAGCGCCUCGGCGCGUAAAGCCCUGUCAGCAGGGAAGAAAAUGACGGUACCUGAAGAAGAAGCCCCGGCUAACUACGUGCCAGCAGCCGCGGUAAUACGUAGGGGGCAAGGGUUAUCCGGAUUUACUGGGUGUAAAGGGGGCGCAGACGGCGAGGCAAGCAAGGAGUGAAAGCCCGGGGCCCAACCCCGGGACUGCUCUUGGAACUGCGUGGCUAGAGUGCAGGAGGGGCAGGCGGAAUUCCUGGUGUAGCGGUGAAAUGCGUAGAUAUCAGGAGGAACACCGGUGGCGAAGGCGGCCUGCUGGACUGCAACUGACGUUGAGGCCCGAAAGCGUGGGGAGCAAACAGGAUUAGAUACCCUAGUAGUC